GAAGAAUCACCUCUUCCUAGCACCCCGGCUAGAAGUGAUACACCUUCAAGCAGAGGAGAUGUUGCUAGUCCAGCAGCAAUCAGAUCCUGGAUGAUCCCACACAUUACCACCGACCUAAGGAGGUGACAAAUCCCCUACCCUGCCACAGCAAGAAAAGCAGAGUUAUUCAAACUCCUCCAUACAUCAACGGACAACACGGAGGCAGUGGAAGGCCCAGCAACACCAACUCAGGUGACACCCAGGCCAUGCUAGCCUCACUCAUAAACUCAUGAGCCA